AGAGGUUGGCGCGGGCAGGCGCCUCGCCAACCCGGUCAGGUCCGGAAGGAAGCAGCCGUAACGAGUCCCGCUUGGGUCGUUUGUCCAGCCUCUCAC
rnacentral:SRP_RNA from 1 species